GGCCUAACACAUGCAAGUCGAGGGGUAGGGUUAGCUUGCUAACCUGAGACCGGCGCACGGGUGCGUAACGCGUAUGCAAUCUACCUUGUACAGAGGGAUAGCCCAGAGAAAUUUGGAUUAAUACCUCAUAGUAUUAUCGAAUGGCAUCAUUUGAUUAUUAAAGUUCCAACGGUACAAGAUGAGCAUGCGUCCCAUUAGUUAGUUGGUAAGGUAACGGCUUACCAAGACGAUGAUGGGUAGGGGUCCUGAGAGGGAGAUCCCCCACACUGGUACUGAGACACGGACCAGACUCCUACGGGAGGCAGCAGUGAGGAAUAUUGGACAAUGGGCGCAACCUGAUCCAGCCAUGCCGCGUGCAGGAUGAAGCAUCUAUGGUGUGUAAACUGCUUUUAUACAGGAAGAAACCCUACCACGUGUGGUAGAUUGACGGUACUGUAGGAAUAAGGAUCGGCUAACUCCGUGCCAGCAGCCGCGGUAAUACGGAGGAUCCAAGCGUUAUCCGGAAUCAUUGGGUUUAAAGGGUCCGUAGGCGGUUUUGUAAGUCAGUGGUGAAAUCUGGUCGCUUAACGAUCAAACGGCCAUUGAUACUGCAAGACUUGAAUUAUUGGGAAGUAACUAGAAUAUGUAGUGUAGCGGUGAAAUGCUUAGAUAUUACAUGGAAUACCAAUUGCGAAGGCAGGUUACUAUCAAUAUAUUGACGCUGAUGGACGAAAGCGUGGGGAGCGAACAGGAUUAGAUACCCUGGUAGUCCACGCCGUAAACGAUGGAUACUAGCUGUUGGGCGCAACUCAGUGGCUAAGCGAAAGUGAUAAGUAUCCCACCUGGGGAAUACGAACGCAGUUUGAAACUCAAAGGAUUGACGGGGGCCCGCACAAGCGGUGGAGCAUGUUGUUUAAUUCGAUGAUACGCGAGGUACCUUACCAGGGCUUAAAUGUAGUGUGAAAGAAUUGGAAACAGAUUUUUCUUCGGACACAUUACAAGGUGCUGCAUG
rnacentral:rRNA from 1 species